rnacentral:lncRNA from 1 species
UGUUUGCCGAUGCACAAGACAUAUAUAAUGAGCAACUCUUGGGAGACUUCUAGGAAAAAUAACACAUGAACUAAUCAAAUAACAUCAGAAUGAGUGGGAUGCGGAAACUGUGUAGGUAUGAGACUAUACGGUUGAAGGAAGGCUUAUAAAGAUUAAUAUGUACUACUUACACCAAUAAGAUGCAUCUUCUUUUUAGUGGCCCAUUACAUAAGAACUUCACAGUUAAGCGCGUCUGACAUGGAACACCUCUUUGGAUUGGUGACCUUUAAUUUGGAAGUUUUCCAAAAAGUAUGCGAGUGAGGAUAAAAUAUGCUGAAAAGACUCGUGUUGGUUUAUGGAGACAAUAGGAAAUCCUUAAAGCAGUAUAGAGCGUUACAGGGACUUUUGCAAAUUUCAACGUGUAUUAUUUUAAUCAAUUCCAACGAUCUUCACCUUGAUUGAAAAUGAUACAUCUUCAGCUUCCAUUGUCUAUAUUGAUAAUCAUAAUUCAAAAGAAUUAUCAUACUCCAUCAUAAACGAGUAUACUCCACUUGAAGUUAAACCACUCCAAAAAUAUUUCUACAUGCCAAAAUGAAACUGAAAAUUUACAGUGCAACUUCCAAGUUGGCUUUCUUAACAAUCGACAUAAUCUCAUAGCACAUCUUGCAUCAAUAUC